CGCUCCGCACUCUCGAUCCGCACGGCCCCGCCCAUAACGCGGAUAAAAUCCACCUGAAUCGCGUUAAUGACAUGUUUAUCCCGCUAUUUCCUCUGCCCCAGUCCUUUCCAUCUUCCCAAAUUCCCCAAAUUGCGUCGUCCCCAUAGUCCCGUCCACCAUAUCACCUCCAAGCGAUCCCAGCGCCGCCGAUCUCCCGUGCCGCCACCACCUCCGCCGCCUCCUGGACAAGAGGCCACCACCAUUGAGCACCACUUCGGCGCGCCUGGUUGCCACCGCGACUCUGGCCUUGGAAGGUCGUCCUACUGUCCUAGAUCGGGGAGGAGGCACGAUUUGGAUCUGGGCGGCGACGGCUAAGCAAGGGCACCUGUGCUAUCGAGGUACAUCUCUUCCCACUCUCCCCGCCUCCCUCUCUCUUCCCCGCCGGGGUCGCCGUGAGCCCGUGACCGUGGACUGGCGGGGAAUGGGGAGCUUCGACAGUGAGGAACGGGGAGCACGGGUGCUCUGCUGGUGGAGGCAUGUUUUGGGACGGGGAGACCUCUGGCCGUGUGGAAUGAAGUGAGCUUUGGAUGCAAACUGAAUUUCAUCUCUCUCGGUUCUUGUUUUCUGCUGAUAGCACAUAAUAACAUUGGUAAUGUUGAGCCGACAAAGAGAAGUAGCAGACUAAUUUCUAUGUCGACAAAUGAUGAUUUGCUCCCCGUAUGUGGUUUCUGGUCAUAUUGGGCUAUGUGAAAAUUGGUUUUUCUCUGUAUUCUCCAUAUGACAUUAUUUUAUAAUCGCUGGAAUAUGAAAAUAGAAUGGUGUGCAGUUCUGCCCUUGUGAGCAAUCUCUGAUGCUUAUAUAUACUAGCAGUAACGUGUAGUAUUAGGUAUGGCAAAGUAAAUUUGCUUCAACAAUCAAUUCCAGCGCAGCAAUUUUUUUGUGGGAUUUCUCUUGCAUCUGCACUGAAUUUUGUACGCCGAUGCCAGUUUGAUGGUUUUGCUUUGAAUGGUCUUCUCAAGGAAACCGUGUUCAAUUUGUAUGUUUUGCUUUGAACGAGUCUUUCUAGAAAUCUGUAUGUGUACUUAUAUGGCUGGUUGGAAUUGUGCAAAUUGUGAUGGUUUGCUUUCUAUGAGCAACUACUUGAAUGCUGAAAUUUUAUACAGUACAUAUCAUGUCAACAACAUGUAUCUCUUUUUAUUUCACAUGUGGAUAGAGAAGUUGCCAUACAUUGUUGUCCCCUUGGCAAUAGUAUGUAAUUCUCAAAUUAUCUUGCUAUCUUUGCUCAGUAGCAUUUAAUAUGACUAAUUUGAGAUCAGCAAAGAGGAAUGGGCCUGAAGAAAUACUGAUAUUGAGCUAGGUCUGCAAGGCGAUGUAUUGAGCUCUGCGUAGCCUUUGUAUGUGUUUUCGAUUCUCUUUUUUUUUAAACAUAGCCUGUAGAUGUCCUACGGUGUGAUUUUAUUUUUCGAGUUCAGCUUUGUGUUAUCGUAGAAUUCAGGUUAGGGAGAUCAAGAAGAUGUUUCAUAUGUUAGCACAACUACUGAAGGAUUUGCAGGUGAGCAACUGUUAUAUGAGUUUGGAUGACGGAAUAUCAGUAUUACAUCAAAAUCUACGGCUUUAUAUACUUUGUCACAUACUGCCAUAUUUCAUAUAUGACGACCAUAUCAAUCACGUGUUGUUUCUUUUUCAUUCAGAGUGUACAUUGCUUCCAGUGUAACAAGAACAGAAAAUAAGAUAGUUAAAGCAUCGUGGGGACCAGGAGGCCAAGCAGUCUGUGGUGUCUUCAUCGUUGUUGCAAAGAAACAUGUCCAAACUUUGCUACAGGGAACUUUCUCUAUCGGUUCAGGUUGGACGAGCAAGACAACAUACUGCAGACUGGGAACAAGAGUAUGUUCAUCAUCAGUGAUAUGUGUUAAUACUCUCCUUGAGAUUGAUUCCUUUGCUUUCGCAAAAAAGCGUCAGAUACAUGGCGAGCUUCAAAAUAUCAGGUUGCAAAUACCAUCGUUGCUUUGGACCUUGCCAUGGAUGGAUGGACACUAAAUGACCACAAAUGCCUCUAGAUUAUUAAUAAGCGUGGUUCUACGUUCAGUGCUUUGGGCAUCUGUUUUGUCUCGGGCUGGUUCUACGUACCUGAUUUUGCUUGGAACAGCCACAGGGGCGAGGAUGUUAUAGUGAUGCAGCUUGGUUUGCUAACUAGCAAUGUUUUGUUUCUUAGACGGACAAACUUGUAUCUCAGAACCUUGAUGAAUUGUUUCAUUUGAUCAGCUUAUGUGGAAACUACUAAUUUUCAUUGCCUCUGUA